rnacentral:rRNA from 1 species
GAUGAACGCUGGCGGCGUGCUUAACACAUGCAAGUCGAACGGUGAAGCAGAGCUUGCUCUGUGGAUCAGUGGCGAACGGGUGAGUAACACGUGAGCAACCUGCCCCUGACUCUGGGAUAAGCGCUGGAAACGGCGUCUAAUACUGGAUAUGAGCUGCGACCGCAUGGUCAGCAGUUGGAAAGGUUUUUCGGUCUGGGAUGGGCUCACGGCCUAUCAGCUUGUUGGUGAGGUAAUGGCUCACCAAGGCGUCGACGGGUAGCCGGCCUGAGAGGGUGACCGGCCACACUGGGACUGAGACACGGCCCAGACUCCUACGGGAGGCAGCAGUGGGGAAUAUUGCACAAUGGGCGAAAGCCUGAUGCAGCAACGCCGCGUGAGGGAUGACGGCCUUCGGGUUGUAAACCUCUUUUAGCAGGGAAGAAGCGAAAGUGACGGUACCUGCAGAAAAAGCGCCGGCUAACUACGUGCCAGCAGCCGCGGUAAUACGUAGGGCGCAAGCGUUAUCCGGAAUUAUUGGGCGUAAAGAGCUCGUAGGCGGUUUGUCGCGUCUGCUGUGAAAUCCCGAGGCUCAACCUCGGGUCUGCAGUGGGUACGGGCAGACUAGAGUGCGGUAGGGGAGAUUGGAAUUCCUGGUGUAGCGGUGGAAUGCGCAGAUAUCAGGAGGAACACCGAUGGCGAAGGCAGAUCUCUGGGCCGUUACUGACGCUGAGGAGCGAAAGGGUGGGGAGCAAACAGGCUUAGAUACCCUGGUAGUCCACCCCGUAAACGUUGGGAACUAGUUGUGGGGUCCAUUCCACGGAUUCCGUGACGCAGCUAACGCAUUAAGUUCCCCGCCUGGGGAGUACGGCCGCAAGGCUAAAACUCAAAGGAAUUGACGGGGACCCGCACAAGCGGCGGAGCAUGCGGAUUAAUUCGAUGCAACGCGAAGAACCUUACCAAGGCUUGACAUAUACGAGAACGGGCCAGAAAUGGUCAACUCUUUGGACACUCGUAAACAGGUGGUGCAUGGUUGUCGUCAGCUCGUGUCGUGAGAUGUUGGGUUAAGUCCCGCAACGAGCGCAACCCUCGUUCUAUGUUGCCAGCACGUAAUGGUGGGAACUCAUGGGAUACUGCCGGGGUCAACUCGGAGGAAGGUGGGGAUGACGUCAAAUCAUCAUGCCCCUUAUGUCUUGGGCUUCACGCAUGCUACAAUGGCCGGUACAAAGGGCUGCAAUACCGUGAGGUGGAGCGAAUCCCAAAAAGCCGGUCCCAGUUCGGAUUGAGGUCUGCAACUCGACCUCAUGAAGUCGGAGUCGCUAGUAAUCGCAGAUCAGCAACGCUGCGGUGAAUACGUUCCCGGGUCU